UACCAGCACCCCGAGUGGUCGGGACGAUUAUUGGGCCUAAAGCAUCCGUAGCCGGUUUUACAAGUCCCCCGUUAAAUCCAGCUGCUUGACAGAUGGGCUGCGGAGGAUACUAUAGAGCUAGGAGGCGGGAGAGGCAAGCGGUACUCGAUGGGUAGGGGUAAAAUCCGUUGAUCCAUUGAAGACCACCAGUGGCGAAGGCGGCUUGCCAGAACGCGCUCGACGGUGAGGGAUGAAAGCUGGGGGAGCAAACCGG
rnacentral:rRNA from 1 species